rnacentral:rRNA from 1 species
GACGAACGCUGGCGGCGUGCUUAACACAUGCAAGUCGAACGGAAAGGCCCUGCUUGCAGGGUGCUCGAGUGGCGAACGGGUGAGUAACACGUGGGUGAUCUGCCCCUUAUUUUGGGAUAAGCCUGGGAAACUGGGUCUAAUACUGGAUAGGACCAUGCUGUAGGUGGUGUGGUGGAAAGAUUAGUUUCGGUAAGGGAUGAGCUCGCGGCCUAUCAGCUUGUUGGUGGGGUAAUGGCCUACCAAGGCGUCGACGGGUAGCCGGCCUGAGAGGGUGGACGGCCACAUUGGGACUGAGAUACGGCCCAGACUCCUACGGGAGGCAGCAGUGGGGUAUAUUGCACAAUGGGCGCAAGCCUGAUGCAGCGACGCCGCGUGGGGGAUGACGGCCUUCGGGUUGUAAACUCCUUUCAGCCAUGACGAAGCCCUUGUGGUGACGGUAGUGGUAGAAGAAGCACCGGCUAACUACGUG